GAUGAACGCUGGCGGCGUGCCUAAUACAUGCAAGUCGAGCGAACAGACGAGGAGCUUGCUCCUCUGACGUUAGCGGCGGACGGGUGAGUAACACGUGGAUAACCUACUUAUAUGACUGGGAUAACUACGGGAAACCGGAGCUAAUACCGGAUAAUAUAUUCAACCGCAUGGUUCAAUAGUGAAAGACGGCUUUGCUGUCACUUAUAGAUGGAUCCGCGCCGGAUUAGCUAGUUGGUAAGGUAACGGCUUACCAAGGCAACGAUGCGUAGCCGACCUGAGAGGGUGAUCAGCCACACUGGAACUGAGACACGGUCCAGACUCCUACGGGAGGCAGCAGUAGGGAAUCUUCCGCAAUGGGCGAAAGCUUGACGGAGCAACGCCGCGUGAGUGAUGAAGGUCUUCGGAUCGUAAAACUCUGUUAUUAGGGAAGAACAAAUGUGUAAGUAACUAUGCACGUCUUGACGGUACCUAAACAGAAAGCCACGGCUAACUACGUG
rnacentral:rRNA from 1 species